rnacentral:rRNA from 1 species
GGUACCCCAACGUCGCGCUCGCGCGGCGAAGGGGGAAACCUCCGGUGUCCUGGCUGCCCUGCGACGGUCGUGCAGCAGAGGGUUGGCACUGUCCUUCCUCUCUCGCGGCGUGCAAAAGGUCGGUGACCCACCCGACCCGUCUUGAAACACGGACCAAGGAGUCUAACAUGUGUGCGAGUCAUUGGGCGCACUAAACCCAAAGGCGCAAUGAAAGUGAAAGGAGGUCGUCGCUCUCGGGCGGCGGCCUCCGGGGCCGAUCCCUGACCGUUGAGUCAGCCGCCGUGGUUACACAGCCCAUCCCAAAGCGGGGUCACAUAAGCGGUGCCGAGCGGGGUGAGACCCUUUCCCCCGCUCCGCCGCCGGCCUCGUGGGUGCCCGGUGUGCACUCUGGCGGUCCGAGCUUGCUCGCCUGUACGCAGGGGGGCGCAGGCCCGGGACUUGCCAUUCGACGCCGUGUCGCGAAUCUGUUGUUGGCCUCAUCGGCUUUGCUUGGGCUCUCGGUUGGCGUGCCGCGUGUCUUUGGGCGGGCUUUGGGUGGGGGGCCUUUCGGGGCUCCCUCCCGGGUUCGUCCGGCGCGGUGGCGCCCUCCGAUCCUGCUCUGUCCGGAGUGGCCUAGCGCACGUGCUGUCGGCAAGUACCAUGAGCAGACAUGUUGGGACCCGAAAGAUGGUGAACUAUGCCUGGCCAGGAUGAAGCCAGAGGAAACUCUGGUGGAGGUCCGUAGCAAUUCUGACGUGCAAAUCGAUUGUCAGAGCUGGGUAUA